UGUGUCUGUGAAGUUCAGCUCAAAAUACCCCAUAGAUUUUUUAUUAUACUAUGUUUUAACUGCCUAUUUUGGAGUGGGAUUAAAAAUGUUCUGAUUUGGUGUGUGUACACCUUUAAAUGCUCGUGCUCCCCGCCCCCAAGCUCGCGACUCCAUUAAACAUUGCAAAAAUAUAAAUAAUACUGAAGUUCAUACAGCUAAUAUAACUCUCAAAAUGGAUCUUUACAAACUGUUCGUGAAGCAGCAUAUCAGAUCACGGACAGAUGAUCACGUGUGUGUUUAUCCGUUGGAGAGAGACUGAUGAAGGAAUGUUGCCAUCAAAGGCUUUGAAGCUUUGUGGUGGAGCAGGACCUGCGAGGUGACAGCAUUUGUGAACAAAAAAAAAAAAAGUAAGAUUAUUUUGUUACUUCUAAUACAGAAAUCAAAUGACACUGUGCUGUUAAAAUGACUGCUUUUGUGUGAUUUUUGUGCAUUUU